GAUGGACGCUGGCGGCGUGCCUAAUACAUGCAAGUCGAGCGAACAGACGAGGAGCUUGCUCCUCUGACGUUAGCGGCGGACGGGUGAGUAACACGUGGAUAACCUACCUAUAAGACUGGGAUAACUUCGGGAAACCGGAGCUAAUACCGGAUAAUAUAUUGAACCGCAUGGUUCAAUAGUGAAAGACGGUUUUGCUGUCACUUAUAGAUGGAUCCGCGCCGCAUUAGCUAGUUGGUAAGGUAACGGCUUACCAAGGCAACGAUGCGUAGCCGACCUGAGAGGGUGAUCGUCCACACUGGAACUGAGACACGGUCCAGACUCCUACGGGAGGCAGCAGUAGGGAAUCUUCCGCAAUGGGCGAAAGCCUGACGGAGCAACGCCGCGUGAGUGAUGAAGGUCUUCGGAUCGUAAAACUCUGUUAUUAGGGAAGAACAAAUGUGUAAGUAACUAUGCACGUCUUGACGGUACCUAAUCAGAAAGCCACGGCUAACUACGUG
rnacentral:rRNA from 1 species